rnacentral:rRNA from 1 species
AACUAACGCUGGCGGCGUGCCUAACACAUGCAAGUCGUACGAGAAAGCCGGCUUCGGCUGGUGAGUAAAGUGGCGCACGGGUGAGUAACGCGUGGAUAAUCUGCCCUUAAGUGUGGAAUAACGUACCGAAAGGUGCGCUAAUACCGCAUAAUGCCUGGCAACACAAGUUGUCCGGCCAAAGAAGGCCUCUGUUUACAAGCUUUCGCUUCAGGAUGAGUCCCGCGUACCAUUAGCUUGUUGGUGGGGUAAUGGCCUACCAAGGCUGCGAUGGUUAGCUGGUCUGAGAGGAUGAUCAGCCACACUGGAACUGAGACACGGUCCAGACUCCUACGGGAGGCAGCAGUCGAGAAUAGUCUACAAUGGUCGGAAGACUGAUAGUGCGACGCCGCGUGAACGAUGAAUCCCGUUCGGGGUGUAAAGUUCUUUUAAUAUGUGAGCAGUGCUUCUUAUAUUAACAGUAGUGGGAGAGAGAUAUUAGCAU